rnacentral:rRNA from 1 species
GUGGGGAAUAUUGGACAAUGGGCGAAAGCCUGAUCCAGCCAUGCCGCGUGUGUGAAGAAGGUCUUCGGAUUGUAAAGCACUUUAAGUUGGGAGGAAGGGCAGUAAGCUAAUACCUUGCUGUUUUGACGUUACCGACAGAAUAAGCACCGGCUAACUCUGUGCCAGCAGCCGCGGUAAUACAGAGGGUGCAAGCGUUAAUCGGAAUUACUGGGCGUAAAGCGCGCGUAGGUGGUUCGUUAAGUUGGAUGUGAAAGCCCCGGGCUCAACCUGGGAACUGCAUCCAAAACUGGCGAGCUAGAGUACGGUAGAGGGUGGUGGAAUUUCCUGUGUAGCGGUGAAAUGCGUAGAUAUAGGAAGGAACACCAGUGGCGAAGGCGACUACCUGGACUGAUACUGACACUGAGGUGCGAAAGCGUGGGGAGCAAACAGGAUUAGAUACCCCGGUAGUCC